UACGUAGGUGGCUAGCGUUGUCCGGAUUUACUGGGCGUAAAGCGCGCGCAGGCGGUCGUUUCAAGUCGAGUGUGAAAGCCCCCGGCUCAACUGGGGAGGGUCACUCGAUACUGAUCGACUUGAAGGCAGAAGAGGGAAGCGGAAUUCCCGGUGUAGUGGUGAAAUGCGUAGAUAUCUGGAGGAACACCGGUGGCGAGGCGGCGAUCCUGGACCGGCAUUGACGCUGAGGCGCGAAAGCCAGGG
rnacentral:rRNA from 1 species